CCCCACGAUUACGUAUUAGAUCUAGUGGGGGCAUCCCCAGUUAUUAGUCUCUGUAUCUCUCUUCCCCACAUUUCUUAUUUAAAUCCCUCUCUCUCCCAGAUAUUUUUUUCUCUCUCUUCACUUUCAUCACAUUCUCUCUAUCUCUCUUUCUUUCUCUCUCAACUUUUCUCAGCUUUCUCACAGUUUCUCUUUUAGGAUCCGUUUGGCUGCCGAGAAACCGUCGGAAAAUGACAGCGUAUAAAACACGUUGCUGGCCCUAGCUUAUAGCGGUUUCAUACUGAUUGGAAGAGAAGCGGAGUGUGUUGGAAAGGAAAGCAGAUAAGUAUAUAUCUUCAGCAACCAGGAACUUUUGAGGGAUGCUAGAGAAAUAAACGGAUAUGCAUAAGCAUGGACCUGGCAUACUAAAAGGAAAGAUUUAAUUUCUCUUGAUAUCUUACAUGGCAUCUCAUCUUUUAGGAUUCUUGAGCAAAGAGACUUUCGUAGGAUUUACAAAGUUUAUACUUUAUGGAGUGAAAGCUGUUUGGUACUUUGAAUUUGCAGUAUAUUUCCUUCUUCCUUCCUCAUGUACUUUUCCUGUUAUGUUUUGACAGAAAAUCUAUAUACUUCUGUAAGCAAUAUGUCUAUGUUUCUAGAUAUUGUCAUAGUUAAUGAAUAGGUGGGGCACACCAAUGUAUAGACUUCAGUAAGCAAUAUAUCUACAUUUCUGUCAGGUGAGUAGCAGUGGAUGAUUUUAUUUUAAAAAUCAUGAGUCAGUACUUCUGAUUGGUCACAUGUUUCCUGAAUUUUGGAGAAAUGCGUAUUUGGUGAUAAUAUUUAAAGCUGGAGGUUGGUGGUGUUUCACUCCAAACUUUUGUUUAAAAUCAGAGCUGGACUUUCUACAACUGUAGUUUAUUUUCAUCGUUCAGUAUUGAAACUUGUAUUUCUCUGAACAACAUUAGCAAGUGGUCUGUCUCAUUAUGCAACCUCUCCUGUUUAGUAUGUUAUUCCAUCAACUAUGUUUGUUUAGUUUAAUAUGUACAUCUAUGUUUUCUUUCAUAUUUUUUACUAAGGAUGCAUUUUCAUUGAAAUUCUAAAUGAUAAUGUACAAGGGGCCUAAAUGAAGAACUAAUUUGACAAUGACUGAACUGAGAGUGAAAUUCAUCAGUUGGUCCAUAUAAGAAAACCAAAAGGGAUGACACGAUGGAACCUUACUUUCUUGAAAUACUCCGAGAUAUCUCUUUUCAACUUUGCCAUAAGUUUCAGAUGAAUAGAGAUGGAGGCAAGCAAUAGUAACAAAGCAGGGGAUCUUUACUUCCUCUUUGAAUUUGUCUACUAUCUUAAUUUUGGAAGUGGGGUGUAAGGAACCCAGUUAGGGUUAGGGUUGCUGAGAUGAUUCAGGUAGCUUAUUGGUAAGAAAUGCUAGGGUUUGGGUGUUUAGGGUCACCUAGGAUUUUGGGUAUGUAGUGUUUUCAAGAGGGUUCCUGAUGAUGUGGAUGUUAGGGUCUUUGGGAAGGAUUUUGGUAUGUGAGAGUUUUUGUAUGAAUGAUUGAUGAUUGCAUGGGAUGUGACUUAUUUUGAGGGAGCACCACCUCCAAGAAAAUCAGAGUGAGCAAAAGAAUGAGACUACUUCAAGGGAGUCUCCACCUCCAAGAGAAAUAGAAAGAAUAGAUAGAAUUAACAAGAAACAAAUGCAACAAUUGGAUUCUUCUUCAUUAUCAUUAGUGAUGAUUACAUUGUCCUAUUUAAUACUACUAAUGCCUUACUCUCAUUGGUUACACAUGGCUUAUUCCUAUUGGAUCAUUAAUUGGGCAUGUGCUUUUAAGAAUAUACAUGUGUUCAAUGUGUUACAUGUGCAUUAACUGUAACUAAUUGUUACCAUUUUCUUUAACAAUCCAAGCAUGUGAUUCAAUUAUGACAGAGCUCAUGUCUGGCUAGCCAAGGCUUCCCCACGUGCAGGACAGUUAGUAGGAGCUUCCCACAAGAUUUGGGAACCAAUGGACAAGCAAGUGCUGAUCUGCAUUUCAAGGCAGAACUAGACUGCCGAUGGAAGCAGUCUGUUUCCCGAUGUCAGUCCAUUUUUGCUAUGGAGUUUUUACUCAUUUCAGCUUUUCUGGAGUUCCUAACAUCGGGUUAGAGUGUAAUUCCUAGAGUCAGACAUGUGGAUUAGGUAGCUUCUGAAUGUGUCGCCAAAAAGAAGCCACUGUCACUUGUUUAAGAAGUGGCUGAAUCUAUUGAUAGAUCAAUAUCUAUGCAACUUUGCUAGUUGAAUUCUAUUACUAGAAGCUGGUCCCAAGCCCAGAUGAAGGAGGAGGGUUAUUGUAGGUAGAAUGUCAACAAAAGAUUAUCUCAAUUCUGAUCAUACCUUAUGAACAUGGAUCCUAUUAUGGGGAAAAAAAAUGAAUACCUUGACUUCUGAGGUUGGGUUCCCUGGUUGAAGUUCCUCUUUUGUUUUGUUGUACCUUUCAAUUACUGACUUCAUGCUGGUAAAGCAGAUUCCAAUUUUAUCAGACAUGGCAGGUUUGUAACAUAUUUUUACAAAAUGGUUGUUGCACAUUUUCAAGAAUCACACAGACACACACAAUCUAUAACUUUAUCCUGCUCAAUAGAUGAAAUUUAACUCUAUUUGCUCUGAAGCGUGUGGUUAAAUUAGGUUAAAUAACAUCUUACAAGGAAAUUCAGCUACAAGCAGGGACAUGUAAUUGAGGCAGAAACCUGAGAUGAGUCUUCUUCUAUAUGCUUCACUCAUUUUUUGGACAGUUGAAUCUAGAUAUGCCUAAGGCUUGUUGUUGUUUAUAUAUUGGCCUAAAUUUUAGAUGUGAUUCAUUUUGCAGAAAUAAAAUAUAAUCUGAGAACUGCACUGGUUUAAUUUUAGUAUGGUUCACCACAUUUUUAGUUAUCUGCCUGCUCUCCCAUCUUAAAUUAGCCGUCUCAUGAUUCUAUAAUUUCCCUGGGAAUUAAAGAAAACAAAUCAAAGUAACUGAUUAAAGUGAUUCUUAAAAAGAAUCUUUGUAUCACCCUGUGUAUUGCAUGUAGAUGCUGUUUAAUGCAAUUUGUAAUGAAAGUUUCAAUUCCAUGAUCAAUAAAAAGAAAUUCAGACAAAAAUUAUGCAUCAAUGAGAAAGUUUCCACUCUGGUGCUAUACCAACACUCUUAAAAAUUCUAGCAUUGUGUAUAUGUUGCACAUGCUUUUAGUGUGGGAUGGUGGUUAUUCUUACAAUCAUGCGCCAAUUAGAGUAAAGCUAGAUAUCUGUAUCACUUUUUUGUUCUCUACAAAAAUAUGGGGAAUAGGGUUGUUAAAAAUGUACUUUGAAAGUUUGUAAUCUAAUUGUGUAAAGGUUGAGCUUGAGUUAGGUGGGUGGAUGCACCGCAGUUUAGAGUGCAUGCAUGAAAAGUAGCUCAACGUAAUCAAGAAAAAUUUCAUCAUUGGUAAACGAAGGAAAUGUCUUAAAGCCAGAUUGUUUUCUGUUAGAAAUCUGCUGCUGAUAUCUGGUUGGUCUAAUUUUAUGACACUAUCUAAAAGAAUUCAAACUUUCGAUAAUGAAGGAUUGAUUACGGGAAAAUACAUAGAUACGAAAAUGCAUCUUAUGGACAAGUCAAGAUCUGAAAAUACAUAGUUAUGAAAAUGCAUCUUAUGGACAAGUCAAGAUCUGUCCUAUAGGAGAAUACAUAGUUAUGAUUGUCACACCUUUCCUAAUGGAACAGCUUCCACUAGUGUGUUAAUCUAUUUCCUGUCUAGAGUUUGACCCAUUCAUAUUUGUACAUGUGAGACGGCCAAAUUAUGAAAAUCCUUGGUGGAGAUCCAUUUGGGGAUGCAAGGAUUGAUUACAGGCUGUCUUCGCCAAGUAUCGAGUCUACAGAGCUAAUUCUCCCAGAGAUAACUGUUGUGAAGUUCCAUUUGUAUGAGUGCUCAGGAAUAUAUAUGAGAAAAUUGGAGAAAUUUUCUGCCGCCCACAGGUGAUUGACAUUUCUUCCAGUUGUUGAUGCAAAUUUUACUCUCUUAAAUAUUUGUGUGCUUGACCAGUAUCAGGUAGGCUUCAGUUAUGUUUUUGUCACUGCCCAUGUCAGAUCUGUUAGCAGGACUAGAUUCGAUGCAAAUUUAACUCUCUUAAAUAUUUGUGUGCUUGACCAGGAUCAGGUAGGCUUCAGUUAUGUUUUUGUCACUGACCAUGUCAGAUAUGUUAGCAGGACUAGAUUCAUGUAGCUGAUCCAAAAAUAUCCAGGAUGUGGGUAGGAUGAUUAUAGUGGCAAUGAUGUGGAAGGAACAUUUUUUGGAUAUGCUUCAAAUUGUCAUGCAGUAACAAUGACGACUGCAAUAAAGAAGACAUUUUAUGGCCAAGUAUGUCAUUUAUGCUGGCAUUCAGUUGGAGAGCUUGGUACUAUUCUUACGCAUUAUUCCUUAUCUAUUACUGUAGAAACAUCCCGACAAUAUCUACAUUGGUUCCACUGGAGCUUGUAUGAUUGAAGUGGAUUGUUUAUAAUGAUUUGCACCAUGAAUAGCAAUGAAAUAUCAAGGUUUCAUUUUGUCAUUCA